rnacentral:rRNA from 1 species
UGAUACCCUGGUAGUCCACGCUGUAAACGAUGUCGACUUGGAGGUUGUGCCCUUGAGGCGUGGCUUCCGGAGCUAACGCGUUAAGUCGACCGCCUGGGGAGUACGGCCGCAAGGUUAAAACUCAAAUGAAUUGACGGGGGCCCGCACAAGCGGUGGAGCAUGUGGUUUAAUUCGAUGCAACGCGAAGAACCUUACCUACUCUUGACAUCCACGGAAUUCGCCAGAGAUGGCUUAGUGCCUUCGGGAACCGUGAGACAGGUGCUGCAUGGCUGUCGUCAGCUCGUGUUGUGAAAUGUUGGGUUAAGUCCCGCAACGAGCGCAACCCUUAUCCUUUGUUGCCAGCACGUAAUGGUGGGAACUCAAAGGAGACUGCCGGUGAUAAACCGGAGGAAGGUGGGGAUGACGUCAAGUCAUCAUGGCCCUUACGAGUAGGGCUACACACGUGCUACAAUGGCAUAUACAAAGAGAAGCGAACUCGCGAGAGCAAGCGGACCUCAUAAAGUAUGUCGUAGUCCGGAUUGGAGUCUGCAACUCGACUCCAUGAAGUCGGAAUCGCUAGUAAUCGUAGAUCAGAAUGCUACGGUGAAUACGUUCCCGGGCCUUGUACACACCGCCCGUCACACCAUGGGAGUGGGUUGCAAAAGAAGUAGGUAGCUUAACCUUCUGA